AAUGGAUGGGUGAAUAGGUGGGUGGAUGGAUGGGUAGAGGUAUAAGUGCAUAGAUGGAUGGAUGAAUCCCUCCACUCAAUGAACUGAUUGUAAAACUGAUGCCUAGUAGGUGAAUGGCAUCUGCUCCAAGACACAGGGCACUCUGAUCACUCAGAACUGCCCUGAGACCCCAGACCUCUGUUCUUGUGCCCAGCUGUGUGUAGUGAUAAGUUUCAACUUGACAAGCAGAUCUGAUCCAUGUCUUCUGUUGACACAGGGUGGAGCGCUCCAGGGACAGACACUUGAUCCUCCUCACCUCUAUUUAUUGCACCUGUAGGUUCAAGAACAGUCCCCAGUCUGUCACUCCCAGGCCUGUGACCCUGGGCAUAGGACCCAAGAAAGAGAGGUGAUACCCACCUCUCAGGAUUGCUGCCCGGAACAAAUAAAGUGAUGGGCUUUACAGAAACAGCGUAACCACACUGUGAUCAUUUACCCUCUUUCUUGGAAGGUGGAUUCCUUCCAGAAGACGCCCUAAUCAUUGGUUCAGCUGCCUGUCAGCCUGACCCUGACCAGCCAUGGGGAGCCACACCCAUCCCAGAGACAUUCUCCAUGCUUCUGCUUCCUGGACGUGGCCACAGCAUCCCCAAGGCACACGUUGGCACUUAGGAUGUGUCCUGCGUGGGGCAGGACAGAUGGCAUGAACUCUUGCAGCUCAUCAGUGGGCAGGCGGCCCCAGCUCCUUUCCAAGGCUGGGUGGGGAUCGUGUAGAGGUUAGGGGGACCCUCAUAGGGAGACCAGCACUCAGGGUCCCCUCCCCCUGCAGACGCCAAGUCGGCCUUUCAGUCCCCCUUGGCUGAUUCCGCGGAACAGCCUCUGCCCCCGCUGGCCGGGGGCUUGGGGCAGAAAGUCUCACUCCUUAUCCCAGGAACAGAGGGAGAAACAUUGAGAAUGAAAGUGACU
rnacentral:lncRNA from 13 species